CCAUCCAUAUUCAAAGGAGAAAACAAAUGUUAACAAUUAUGUCAAGUCACAACAAUCCAGCCACCUGGCAGUGGCCUUUAAAAGCUCAAGAAUGCACAUAACCUGAAGCAACUGAAAUUCAGAAAUUUAGGGAUUUUCUCGUCCUUCCGGUUGGGAGGAAUUUCAACAGCGAGGCGAAUUCCGGCUGAGCCACUGUUCCAGUUGCCGGUCGUUUUUGCUCAAGAAAUUGAUGUUGGCCUGGAUAAGUUCUAGGGACUGCAUCAGCGAACGUUUACCACUUCCGACGUU